rnacentral:rRNA from 1 species
AGCGAACGCUGGCGGCAGGCUUAACACAUGCAAGUCGAGCGGGCACUUUCGGGUGUCAGCGGCGGACGGGUGAGUAACGCGUGGGAACGUGCCCUCUGGUUCGGAAUAACUCAGGGAAGCUUGAGCUAAUACCGGAUACGCCCUUUUGGGGAAAGGCUUGCUGCCGGAGGAUCGGCCCGCGUCUGAUUAGCUAGUUGGUGAGGUAACGGCUCACCAAGGCGACGAUCAGUAGCUGGUCUGAGAGGAUGAUCAGCCACACUGGGACUGAGACACGGCCCAGACUCCUACGGGAGGCAGCAGUGGGGAAUAUUGGACAAUGGGCGCAAGCCUGAUCCAGCCAUGCCGCGUGAGUGAUGAAGGCCUUAGGGUUGUAAAGCUCUUUUAUCCGGGACGAUAAUGACGGUACCGGAGGAAUAAGCCCCGGCUAACUUCGUG